rnacentral:rRNA from 1 species
AUACGUAGGGUGCGAGCGUUGUCCGGAAUUACUGGGCGUAAAGAGCUCGUAGGUGGUUUGUCGCGUCGUCUGUGAAAUUCCGGGGCUUAACUCCGGGCGUGCAGGCGAUACGGGCAUAACUUGAGUACUGUAGGGGAGACUGGAAUUCCUGGUGUAGCGGUGAAAUGCGCAGAGAUCAGGAGGAACACCGGUGGCGAAGGCGGGUCGUUGGGCAGUAAAUGACGCUGAGGAGCGAAAGCAUGGGGAGCGAAUAGGAUUAGAUACCCGGGUAGUCCAGGCUGAAACCGGGGGGCGCUAGGUGUAGGGGUAUUCCACGCCUGGUGUGCCGUAGCUCACGCAUUUAGCGCCCCGCCUGGGGAGUACGGCCGCAAGGCUAAAACUCACAGGAAUUGACGGGG